CAUGAUAGUUGAAUUGGGCUCUCUAAUCUGGGUGAAGGCAUGUAAUUUAGUAAAUGCAUAAACAUGUUAAACAUGAUGCAUAAACAUGUUAAAAAUGAUAUGAUAGGUAAUGCAUAUAAUUUAGUGAAUGCAUAAACAUGUUAAGAAUGAUAUAAUAGGUAAUUUGGUGAAUUUACGAGUAUAUGAAGACUGAGAUGAUACUCCCCUCUUAUUUGGAAGAAGAAAAUUUCUUCUUGUAUUUGGCUGAAACUAUGUAUACUCAUAAUGAGAUCAAAGUUCCUUUUUCUAUUUGGCUGAAGCCAUGUAAUUUGGUGAAUGCAUGAACAUACGCAAGAAUGAGAUCACACUCCCUGGUGGAAGGCAUGUAAUUCGGUGAGCAUUCCUUUUUCUAUUUGGCUGACGGCAUGUAAUUUAGUUAAUGUAAUUUGGUGAGCACUCCCUUUUUGCUAUUUGACUGAAGGCAUGUAAUUUGGUGAUUGUAAUUUGAUGAAGGCAUAAGUGUCCCUUUUUCUAUUUGGUUGAAGGCAUGUAAUUUGGUGAAUGUAAUUUGGUGAAUGCAUAAGUUAUAAGAAUGAGUUUAC
rnacentral:lncRNA from 1 species